rnacentral:misc_RNA from 1 species
GAUGAAGAACGCAGCGAAAUGCGAUAAGUAGUGUGAAUUGCAGAAUUCAGUGAAUCAUCGAAUCUUUGAACGCACAUUGCGCCUUCUAGUAUUCUGGGAGGCAUGCCUGUUUGAGCGUCAUUAAACCUCUCUCAAGUAUGAUUACUUGGAUGUGAAGGAAGAGUACCUUAAACUUAAGGGGUGUUCUCCUUUGAAAUUGAUUAGCAGAUGGUAAUGUUAUUAAAUCCCUGAUGUUGUAAGAAAUAACAGUGGUUUUGUAGACUAUUAUCUAGCUUUAAAUUAUAAUUUUUAUUAUGGUUGACCUCAAAUCAGGUAAGGAUACCCGCUGAACUUAAGCAUAUCAAUAAGCGGAGGA